AGCUUGAGUCAUAAAGAGUCCCUCUCUCACUACUGGACCAUGUCUCAUCCCUCUGACCAGGCAAUAAUAACCCAAUAAAGGUCUUCCUCCCAGCUGGAGAGGCAUUCCGAUUUUUUGUUACUGGAGUUCAUGUUACUUUAUGAAUUAUUUCUUGUUAUUUUUCUGCUACUUCCAGUUAAUUGUUUGCUUGCUUCUCUAAGACAGACAGCUGAGACUACGAAUCCCUGGGAAGAGUUACAAAUUCCCUGCCAUCAUGCACAGCUCUCAAGGUCUUCAGAACUAUCAUUCCUGGUGCCAGCAACUCAGAACACGUCUGCAGUGCUGACCUGCACAGUGGUCGUCAUGCUCCAUGCCUGCAUCCUCCUGACACUGAAGUUAUCUGCUGCAGGUAAACAUUAUUUGGAAAGGAUUUCAGGAUUUCUACAUCACGGACUCCAUCUAUACCAAUAACUAAUCUGUUGGAAAAAUUCCUUCUCAGAAGAGCCCAGCCUGCCCCAUUUCAAUUGGUGACCAGAGCUCUGUCAAUGGAUUUAUGAUGUGACGUCAGUCCCAAGGCUCAAGUGGCAACUUUUGUAUUUUCAUGCAUUGUUUAAUAAGCUGUUCACUUCCCUUCUCUAACCCAAACUUUAUUAAAAGGGGGAAGAUGCACUCGAGUGUUUCUCCAGAGAAGACAGGCCAUUUAGACUUGAUACUGAAAAGUGAUUCCCCAUGGUAAGGAAAUGAAGAACUGCAAAGUGCUUAGAGAGACAUAUUUAAUACCUUAAACUCUUACUUUGAGUUAACAACAAGCAUGGUCUUGGCUUUAAGGAAAUAAAUCGAUUCUCAGGCUCCCUUAUUUCA
rnacentral:lncRNA from 1 species